rnacentral:rRNA from 1 species
UUGACGGGGCCCGCACAAGCAGCGGAGCGUGUGGUUUAAUUCGAGGCUACGCGAAGAACCUUACCUGGGUUUUGACAUAUGGGUGGUAGGGAACCGAAAGGGACCGACCUUCGGGAGCCCAUACAGGUGCUGCAUGGCUGUCGUCAGCUCGUGCCGUGAGAUGUUGGGUUAAGUCCCGCAACGAGCGCAACCCUUGCCAUUAGUUGCUACGAAAGGGCACUCUAAUGGGACUGUCGGUGACAAACCGGAGGAAGGUGGGGAUGACGUCAAGUCCUCAUGGCCCUUAUAGGUGGGGCUACACACGUCAUACAAUGGCCGGUACAGAGGGUAGCCAACCCGCGAGGGGGAGCCAAUCCCACAAAGCCGGUCGUAGUCCGGAUCGCAGUCUGCAACUCGACUGCGUGAAGUCGGAAUCGCUAGUAAUCGCGGAUCAGCAUGUCGCGGUGAAUACGUUCCCGGGUCUU